GUGAGGGAGAAGCUGGUUCUAUUUGCAGGUUCAUUGCAAAGAGCCGUUUAUUUCAGUGUCUUGUUACCCGAAGCAAGGAAGUGAUUAUUCUUGAGAUGGGGACCCCCGCUGUGUUUCCCAUGUUAAGCCCACUCAUUAGCAGCAGAAAGGGUGCCAUAUCUUACUCCAUAGCAGACAGAACCCUCGCUGAGAAGCUUCAUGUCCAAUCAGUCUUUAUUCC